rnacentral:rRNA from 1 species
GAUGAACGCUGGCGGCGUGCCUAAUACAUGCAAGUCGAGCGAACAGAUGAGGAGCUUGCUCCUCUGACGUUAGCGGCGGACGGGUGAGUAACACGUGGAUAACCUACCUAUAAGACGGGGAUAACUUCGGGAAACCGGAGCUAAUACCGGAUAAUAUAUUGAACCGCAUGGUUCAAUAGUGAAAGACGGUUUUGCUGUCACUUAUAGAUGGAUCCGCGCCGCAUUAGCUAGUUGGUAAGGUAACGGCUUACCAAGGCAACGAUGCGUAGCCGACCUGAGAGGGUGAUCGGCCACACUGGAACUGAGACACGGUCCAGACUCCUACGGGAGGCAGCAGUAGGGAAUCUUCCGCAAUGGGCGCAAGCCUGACGGAGCCACGCCGCGUGAGUGAUGAAGGUCUUCGGAUCGUAAAGCUCUGUUAUUAGGGAAGAACAAAUGUGUAAGUAACUAUGCACGUCUUGACGGUACCUAAUCAGAAAGCCCCGGCUAACUACGUG